UCCCUGGUGGCUCAGAUGGUAAAGCGUCUACUUGCAAUGUGGGAGACCUGGGUUCGAUCCCUGGGUUGGGAG
rnacentral:tRNA from 1 species